CAGCAGCCGCGGGAAAACGAAGGGGGCUAGCGUUGUUCGGAUUUACUGGGCGUAAAGCGCACGUAGGCGGAUCGAUCAGUCAGGGGUGAAAUCCCAGAGCUCAACUCUGGAACUGCCUUUGAUACUGUCGAUCUGGAGUAUGGAAGAGGUGAGUGGAAUUCCGAGUGUAGAGGUGAAAUUCGUAGAUAUUCGGAGGAACACCGGUGGCGAAGGCGGCUCACUGGUCCAUUACUGACGCUGAGGUGCGAAAGCGUGGGGAGCAAACAGGAUUAGAUACCCGCGUAGUCCCUGUCUCUUAUAC
rnacentral:rRNA from 1 species